rfam:Pseudomonas knackmussii B13 complete genome
CCUCUUCGAUCUGCUGCGGGCAGAUGAAGUGGAUGUGCGUGUCGAUGCCGCCGGCGGUGAGGAUCAUGCCUUCGCCGGCGAUGACUUCGGUGCUGGCGCCGAGGGCGAUGGUGACGCCGGGCUGGAUGUCCGGGUUGCCGGCCUUGCCGAUGGCGGCGAUGCGACCGUGCUUCAGGCCGACGUCGGCCUUCACGAUGCCCCAGUGGUCGAGGAUCAGCGCGUUGGUGAUCACGGUGUCGACCACCUCUGCGGCCGGCAGCUGGCCCUGGCCCAUGCCGUCGCGGAUG